rfam:Schistosoma curassoni strain Dakar, Senegal genome assembly, scaffold: SCTD_scaffold0002097
AUCCAGCUGACGAGUCCCAAAUAGGACGAAGCACACGUCCUGGAU